rnacentral:rRNA from 1 species
UACGUAGGGGGCAAGCGUUGUCCGGAUUUAUUGGGCGUAAAGAGCGUGUAGGCGGUCCGGCAAGUCCGCUGUGAAAGUCGGGGGCUCAACCCUCGAAUGCCGGUGGAUACUGUCGGGCUAGAGUGCGGAAGAGGCGAGUGGAAUUCCUAGUGUAGCGGUGAAAUGCGCAGAUAUCAGGAGGAACACCGAUUGCGAAGGCAGCUCGCUGGGACGUAACUGACGCUGAGACGCGAAAGCGUGGGGAGCAAACAGG